CAAUUCUAUCAAAGAAGGAGAUGCGCAUAAGUCAAUCAGCUACAAGUGCACCCAUACAUGCACACGCAUGCUUCCUAAAAUCACAACUAAUUGCGCAAGACAAGACGAUGAGAGAGUACGGCACACACGCAACCGCUUCU
ensembl:ncRNA C04C11.18 ncRNA